rnacentral:rRNA from 1 species
UACGUAGGCAGCAAGCGUUGUUCGGAGUUACUGGGCGUAAAGGGUGCGUAGGCGGCCUUAUAAGUAUGGUGUGAAAUCUCCCGGCUUAACUGGGAGGGUGCGCUAUAGACUGUGGGGCUAGAGUGUGGGAGAGGAAAGUGGAAUUCCUGGUGUAGCGGUGAAAUGCGUAGAUAUCAGGAGGAACACCGGUGGUGUAAACGCUUUCUGGACCAUAACUGACGCUGAGGCACGAAAGCGUGGGUAGCAAACAGG